GCAGACACAUUCCAGCCAAUCAGCAGCAGACCCUCCCUCCUAGACCCUCCCACCUCCUGGACAGCAUCCAUUUUACAUUCAUUGUGAAGCUGCAUUCUUAGUGAGCUGUCCAGGAGGUGGGAGGGUCUGGGAGGGAGGGUCUGCUGCUGAUUGGCUGGAAUGUGUCUG